UAACAUCGAUAUCACGUAAUAAAUUUUAUUAGAUCUUUCGCCUUUUACUAAAGAUCACCGUGGAGGGGGACAGCACAAUGAGCUUCUAGACAAUUUUUGAUAGGCCUAACCUGUUUGGGUAA